CCUGGAAAAGAAACACAGAUUGAAACCCAUUAAAGUUACAUCUGAGGGAAUGGUCAGCUACAGUGGCUUCCUAGAAGCUGUUCAAAUGCAGAGGCACUUCAAUGAAACAGUUUUCCUUUUUUGAGUACCUUUCCAGAAAGGGUACCUGUGCUAAUUCUUACCCCCCCACCCCGUCAAACCUACCUCCAGACUUGAGAAAGGUCAUUCCUGAUCCUGACACUAAUUCUGCUGGUAUGACUUCCUCUCUAACUGUGUUAGCACUACUGCCUCAGAACACUACUGCUGCAGAACACUUGAAGCAAAGGUGGCUUUUCCCAAGUCCUAUUUUCUGUUCCAUCUGUUCUCAGCACAGGUGUUUACAGAUAUAUAUGAUCUCUUCCUGCUUCAGGAACUCCUCCAUUUGAUAUUUCAGAUGAGGAAUAAUAAUAAUGUUUGUCAGUUACAGUAACUGGAUUUGGGGAGAAGGAGAAAGGGACAGGUGGGAACAAGCGAACACAACAGCAGCUGAUAUGGACAUGACCCUGGGCUCCAGAGAUUCUUGCACAGAACUUAUCACUGCUUUGGCGUCUUUGUAAUUUUAAAAUCUUUUUUGGGGAAAAAAAAAAAGAAAAGUAGAUGAAAGGGAUCGAUGGCAAGAAUUUACUGGUGAAUUCACUGAACACCUGCCUUUAUCCUUGCUGCUAUUAAUAUUCAAAAUGACCAUCCUGCAAUGGUACAAACUGAGUCACCCAGGUGAUCACAUUUUUUAGUUAUUUUUACUGCUCACUCAAGACUUGAAGCUUGGGCAAGCUGUGAAGGUAAAACAGGGCAAGUGUGGCUAAUACCAGCAGCCAGUGCAUCUGGCUGGAGCUGGGAGUCAGAUGGCAUCACAACUCCAUUCCACCAGCAACAGCUGUGGUGUACAGGGACAGAAGUAGAGACUUCUGUUGCUAUUCCUAAACAUCAAAAUGUCUCUAUCCCUCAGUAACAGGAGUGCCUUGGUAAAGCUCCCAAAAUGCAUAUAAAUGCACAGGAACCCUGACAGUAUAAGCCUCAACACCAGGAAAACUUCAGAGUUUGAUUCUGCAAUGUUUAGCAAUCCUAGCUGAAGCAAGUUAGAUAAUGUGUCCAGUAUAUAGAACAAGGCCAUGUUCUGCUUACAGCCAGAUAAAGCCUUCCUGCUUUACUGGGAAAGCCGACUGGAACUCAGGUUCCUCAAACUUGAAAAGAAAUGCAUCUCAGUAAUCAGUGAUUAUUUGUUUUUUUCAAUUAUGAGUCAUAAAGUUGUCUCACAGAACGGCAGUUAGGCUUUUAGUGGGACAAGAAGCUGCUGGCGUCAGCUAGACCGAGACUGCACUACCUGUGCUGCAGGAUUAAACAGAUUUCAUCAGAGCUGUUGAACCCACUCACAUUGGCCAGGCAUGCAAUGGUACCAAACAGCUGCAGAAGCGAUAGCAGAAGUUGGACUUGGUACCCAAAGUCAUGUGUAGCCAUAGCUCCAGAAGUUUCACUCUCUGACCAGCUGUGAUGAUUCAGGAGGUUUUUUGGAUAUAAGCCUGAGUUCACUGCUCAAACUGUUGAGAACUCAGCAGCUCUAAGAAAAGGCAUACUGUUUAUGCACCUACCUGCCUAAAGGAUUUAGGAAUGCAAAUGUAGACUUCUAUUUUUGAUAAUUCAUCCUGAAUUUGUUGCAUAAAAAGCUUUUCACAUGAAGGGGUUGCAGCUGGGUACACAGAGCUAACCACAUGCAAGCAGCUUCUGGCAAAAAGCCACAGGUGAAAUUCAAAGGAUACUUUGUGCAAGUAUUUGAGAUAAUCUGUAAAAAUACUUAGUCCUUGUUACUUUUGGGAAAAAUGAAUAAAACAUUAGGGAGACUGAUUUUCUUGCUGCUCGUAUUUAGGAAACAAUUGCUCGCAGAAGAAACCCCCAGAGGGUCCUAACCAUUAUGGUAUACAGGGAAAUGCACAAGAUGGGGGAUAUCCUCCUAGGGUGCAAUGCAGUGCAGAGGUACAACGAUUCCUGUAGACUCUUCCCUCAGCCCCCAAGUUCAAUUCCUCUUCUUUCCUGCUAAAAUCCUAUUCUUCCUAGGGAAUAAAGGUAGGCUGAAGGCUGAUCAAGGAUGGUUCCAGACUCUCUGAAGUCAGGAUUGUAUGAAAAAUGUAUCUUCUUUAAUUUUCACACCUAAGCACCUGUGCACACUUAAGACACAGUGCUGCUAAGAGGUACUGCUCCUAACACAAAAAUGUUGUUAAUACUUUCCUGUGCUGGGGUUAGCCAGGUCAGGAUGGCAGCUCUUAUCCACUUACAGUGUCAACCACAGGGCCAAAAGCAGUCUGCAGGUCUUGCAGACAACUUGGGGACCUUGCUGAAGAUGUUUCAGUGAAGUCUGCUUCAUGAACAGAAGCAGUCACUAUAGGUCUUUACAGGGUUAGAAAAAAUCCAAGAAGAAAACAUGCAAGAAAUGUUUCUUACCAGGUUCCCUUCUGCUUUGUUUCUGCUACAUAUAUUAUCAGCAAAUUGUUCUGUAGCAGCUACACCUGGUUUCUGAACCACCCACAGUAAUUACAAAAAAGGGAAAGAAAAAACUUUUUCUUUCCCUAAGUGGUUAGAUUUGCAUUUGAGUAAAUAGUCCCAGGUCUGUGGCAGGCUUCAAGCAGUAAAGCACUGCAGAAUGCAGCCCAGUUGCUAGGCAGAAAAUGUUAAACCCUCUGAGAAGAUUACCUUGUUAAAAAAGUAAAUUAAGAAUUCUCCACUCCCACCCCAGCUGUGUUUGUGAGAUAGAACAUAUUCCCACCCCUCCUCUGCAAUCACUCCCUGCAAGCCUCUGAUACAGAGUCUGCCUUGACAAACCCAUGGUUGUAAGCCUCUAAUCUUGCAUGUCUGAGCAAGAUAACUUAAAAAGUUCCAGCUGACAGACACCUCUGAAAGCAGGUAUUUUUGAGAUCGGGCAACUUGCACAAUAGUUGAAUAUUGCUGUGGGCUUCCAAAGCUAUGUCUGAUGCUCUCUAAGUGAUAAUUUAGUCCCCUGGUUUUAGCUGCUGCACCCUUUCACCACCGAGUAUUGCCCUCUUCUAUGCAUUUGAAAUAUGUUUCAGAGUACACUGUGCAAUGACACAGAAUUCUAAUAGUGCAGCUUUGUAUUUCUUCAUGGCAUGAUCCACUCCUAACACUGAAUUUGACUUGUAUAGCAGGUAAAACCAUUCUCUGUAUCACAUAACAUGAGGGCAAAACCUUCCAUUUAAGACCUUGCUGUCUCCAAUUUCAGAAUUUGUUACUCCACUAUGCUGGGAUAGUUCCUGGAAUGUUUAAAGCAAGAACCACCCAACAGCAAACAUUAGAAAUACCUUAACUGAAAACCCAGGCUAGGCCCACAUAUUUAUGCCAAACAAAAUGAACUUUUUAUUGAUGCUUUAACUGGAAACAGACAUCAGGCAGUUGCUCACAUAACCACUGAGUCUCUUCUUAGAUUACUGAAGUUAUUUCAGAAGUAUUCAAUUAUAUUUUUUGCCUGAAGUUGUGAAUUAGCUUCAAUUUAUUAACAAGUAAGCAUUAUCUCUAAUUUUCAGUUAUUCCUGUUAUUCCAUAGCUGUAGUUUUUGGUUUUAAUAUACUACAAAUUUUGGUGGUUAAUUAUAGGCUUUUGGCCAUGAAUAUUUCAAAUCCUGUUUCAGCCUUUAAUUUCCUUUACAAUGUCUACUGAAAUGCCUUCACAUCCCAAGUAAAAAAAACUGCAGCUUUUCCUGAUGGAUGUCAUAAUGAAAAUUUAGAGAAUAAACUUCCCCAUCAAACAGUUACAUCUUUGAGUUGUUUUCCUACAAAGUCAUGACUUUACUUACCUAGA